CCUACGGGUGGCAGCAGUGAGGAAUAUUGGUCAAUGGACGAGAGUCUGAACCAGCCAAGUAGCGUGAAGGAUGACUGCCCUAUGGGUUGUAAACUUCUUUUAUAUGGGAAUAAAAUGUUCCACGUGUGGGAUUUUGUAUGUACCAUAUGAAUAAGGCUCGGCUAACUCCGUGCCAGCAGCCGCGGUAAUACGGAGGAUCCGAGCGUUAUCCGGAUUUAUUGGGUUUAAAGGGAGCGUAGGUGGAUUGUUUAGUCAGUUGUGAAAGUUUGCGGCUCAACCGUAAAAGUGCAGUUGAAACUGGCAGUCUUGAGUACAGUAGAGGUGGGCGGAAUUCGUGGUGUAGCGGUGAAAUGCUUAGAUAUCACGAAGAACUCCGAUUGCGAAGGCAGUUCACUGGACUGCAACUGACACUGAGGCUCGAAAGUGUGGGUAUCAAACAGGAUUAGAUACCCGAGUAGUC
rnacentral:rRNA from 1 species